CCUAAGGUAGCGAAAUUCCUUGUCGGGUAAGUUCCGACCCGCACGAAAGGCGUAACGAUCUGGGCGCUGUCUCAACAAGAGACUCGGUGAAAUCAUAGUACCUGUGAAGAUGCAGGUUACCCGCGACAGGACGGAAAGACCCCGUGGAGCUUUACUGUAGCUUGAUAUUGAGCACUGGUGGCACAUGUACAGGAUAGGUAGGAGACGAAGAAACCAGGACGCCAGUCUUGGUGGAGUCGCUGUUGGGAUACUACCCUUGUGUCACUGGGGUUCUAACCCGUGGCCCUUAUCGGGUCAGGGAACAGUGUCAGGUGGGCAGUUUGACUGGGGCGGUCGCCUCCCAAAGAGUAACGGAGGCGCCCAAAGGUUCCCUCAGAAUGGUUGGAAAUCAUUCGAAGAGUGUAAAGGCAGAAGGGAGCUUGACUGCGAGACCUACAAGUCGAGCAGGGACGAAAGUCGGGCUUAGUGAUCCGGCGGUACCGAAUGGAAGGGCCGUCGCUCAACGGAUAAAAGCUACCCCGGGGAUAACAGGCUGAUCUCCCCCAAGAGUUCACAUCGACGGGGAGGUUUGGCACCUCGAUGUCGGCUCAUCGCAUCCUGGGGCUGUAGUCGGUCCCAAGGGUUGGGCUGUUCGCCCAUUAAAGCGGUACGCGAGCUGGGUUCAGAACGUCGUGAGACAGUUCGGUCCCUAUCCGUCGUGGGCGUAGGAAAUUUGAGAGGAGCUGUCCUUAGUACGAGAGGACCGGGAUGGACACACCGCUGGUGUACCAGUUGUUCUGCCAGGAGCAUAGCUGGGUAGCUACGUGUGGACGGGAUAAACGCUGAAAGCAUCUAAGCGUGAAGCCCCCCUCAAGAUGAGAUUUCCCAUUCGAAAGAAGUAAGAUCCCUUGAAGACGACGAGGUUGAUAGGUCAGGAGUGGAAGUGUGGUGACACAUGGAGCGGACUGAUACUAAUCGAUCGAGGACUUAACCAA
rnacentral:rRNA from 1 species